rnacentral:rRNA from 1 species
GUAAGGGAAGAACGUUAUUAGUAGGAAAUGGCUAAUAAGUGACGGUACCUUACCAGAAGGGACGGCUAACUACGUGCCAGCAGCCGCGGUAAUACGUAGGUCCCGAGCGUUAUCCGGAAUUAUUGGGCGUAAAGGGCACGUAGGCGGACAAAUAAGUUUGAUGUCAAAUAUGAUGGCUCAACCAUCAAGAGGCGUUGAAAACUGUUUAUCUAGAAUCUCGGAGAGGUAAGUGGAAUUCCAUGUGUAGCGGUGGAAUGCGUAGAUAUAUGGAGGAACACCAAUGGCGAAGGCAGCUUACUGGACGAAGAUUGACGCUGAGGUGCGAAAGCGUGGGUAGCAAACAGGAUUAGAUACCCUGGUAG